UACAGAGGUCCCAAGCGUUGUUCGGAUUUAUUGGGCGUAAAGGGUGCAUAGGCGGCGGAGUAAGUUGGGUGUGAAAUCCCGGGGCUCAACCUCGGAAUUGCAUUCAAUACUGCUUCGCUAGAGUACUGGAGAGGAGGCUGGAAUUUACGGUGUAGCAGUGAAAUGCGUAGAUAUCGUAAGGAAGGCCGGUGGCGAAAGCGAGCCUCUGGACAGUUACUGACGCUGAUGCACGAAGGCCAGGGGAGCAAACGGG
rnacentral:rRNA from 1 species